rnacentral:rRNA from 1 species
AACGAACGCUGGCGGCAGGCUUAACACAUGCAAGUCGAACGGUUGUAGCAAUACAGCAGUGGCGCACGGGUGAGUAACACGUGGAUAUCUGCCUUUUGGUUCGGAAUAACUCCGGGAAACUGGAGCUAAUACCGGAUGGUUCCUACGGGAUAAAGAUUUAUCGCCAAAAGAUGAGUCCGCGUACGAUUAGCUAGUUGGUGAGGUAAUGGCUCACCAAGGCGACGAUCGUUAGCUGGUCUGAGAGGACGAUCAGCCACACUGGGACUGAGACACGGCCCAGACUCCUACGGGAGGCAGCAGUGGGGAAUAUUGGACAAUGGGGGCAACCCUGAUCCAGCCAUGCCGCGUGAGUGAUGAAGGCCUUCGGGUUGUAAAGCUCUUUUGCGGGACGAUGAUGACGGUACCCGCAGAAUAAGCCCCGGCAACUUCGUGCCAGCAGCCGCGGUAAU